rnacentral:ncRNA from 1 species
UACACUAUGCUCACGGGGAGUUUUUAAUAUUUCUAACCCUACUAGAUCAUGAAAAUUGUUUUGAAGUGUUAUGGACUUGCAUAACUUCUCCUUCAUGUGUCUUCUUGGGAAUCUGACUAUUUAAUUAAAAUAAAUCAUUGCAAUGGUCCCUGCGGAUGCUGACGCAAUGUGAUUUUUGCCCAGUGCUUUGAAUGUCAAAGUGAAGAAAUUAAACCAAGCACGGGUAAACGACAGGAGUAACUAUGACUCUAUUAAGGUAUCAAAAUUCCUUGUCAUCUAAUUAUUUAUGCACAUGAAUGGAUUAAUGAUAUUCAGACUAUCCCUAUCUACUAUCUAGCAAAACCACAUCCCAGGGAAUGGGCUUGGAAGAAUCGACGGG